GAGAGAGAGAGAGAGAGAGAGAGAGAGAGAGAGAGAGAGAGAGAGAGCAUCACAGUCAGAUUCACAUCGCGAGGAAACGUUCGUCCAAUGAUUCUUUAAUCUCUUGAAACAUUUCAUUUUUCUUUCCAGAUGAUUUGACUUCUUCAGACUUUUCAUAUUUUCUGUCGAGAGAAGAAACUUUCGCUUGUUUCCUGUUUUCCUGCCUCGAUGCUUCGUCCUCGUGUUUUUCAGCAGGUGAAGAACAGAAGUCAGAGGUGAAGCAGAGAAUCAGGUUCUGUUCCAGAGACACGUCCCCUGAUGGAGGCCAACAACACGCCUCGGGGCUGCGGCCCUGACGUGGACUCGCUCUACUACAACCUGUGUGACCUCGGUGCCGUGUGGGGGGUGGUGCUGGAGGCCCUGGCGGCGGCCGGCGUGGUCUUCUCCUUCGUGCUCUUCAUCUCGCUGCUGGCCAGCUUGCCCUUCAUGAAGGACAAGGGCCGCAAGAGCUCGGUGGCUCUGCACGCCGGCUUCCUGGUCUUCACCGGCGGGCUCUUCUGCCUCACCUUCGCCUUCAUCGUGGGGAAGGACUUCUCCACCUGCGCCUCCCGGAGGUUCCUGUUCGGCGUGCUGUUCGGCGGCUGCUUCUCCUGCCUCCUGAUGCAGAGCGUGAGGCUGAACCUCCUCGCCCGGCGGGACAGAGGGCCCCCGGCCUGGGCUUUGUGUCUGGGGGCGAUGGGGCUGUGGCUGGUGGAGGUGGUCAUCAACACGGAGUGGCUGAUCAUCACGGUGGUGCGCCACCCGCUGCUGCUGCUCAACCUCACGGCUGAGAGCAGCAGAGCCACAGCCACGCCCUGCAACAUCGCCAACCAGGACUUUGUCAUGGCGCUGAUCUACGUGCUGACCCUGAUCCUGGCGCUGGUGGUGGCCAGUCUGACCGUCAUGGCGGGCAAACACAACCAGUGGAAGAGGGAAGGCGCCUGCGUCCUCCUGAGCGGCCUGUUCUCUGUGGGCAUCUGGGUGGCGUGGAUCGUUAUGUACGUCUACGGCAACGAGCGGCACGGGGGGCCCACGUGGGACGACCCCACCUUGGCCAUCGCCUUGGUGGCCAACGCCUGGGUGUUCCUCAUCAUCUACACCAUCCCAGAGAUCUGCUGUUCCACCAGCGAGGACGAGCCUCAGCCGAGCCCCGGGGACGAGCUGUACCCGAGCCAAGGAGUCGGCUACGAGAACAUCCUGAAGGAGCAGAGCGCCAAGAGCAUGUUCAUGGAGAACAAGGCGUUCUCCAUGGACGAGCCCAACCAAGGUCUGUACAGGCUUCACGUGUCACUGGUUGUUUACUGCAGCUCCACAGUUAAAAGUAAAACACAACAUUUAAGUGUUUCAACGCUUGAGGCCGACUCUGAUAGUUCAAAGUGAAUCUGCAGGAACAUCCUUAACUUCUACUUUAGUUUGUCAGAACAAGACGUCCUGUUCUUCACGUCCUCGUGUUCCUGCUGCUCUCCUCAAAUCAGAUGUUUCCCUGUUCGUGAGCAUUGGUUUGUUUUCUAUAACGAAGCUAAACUCUCAUUUCACUCAGCGACACGUGAACCUUCGUGACGACGUGUCUCAGUGAAGCUGGAAGUUGGUUCAGGUGAAGUUUAGUGGGACCUGCAUCGUGUCCUUUGUGUCACACUGAGUCAUACACUGAGUCUCCACUGACCUCGUUCUCCUCAGUGACCUCGUUCAAGUUUGAAUCAACCUGAACAAACCAAAUACAGGAAAGUUACGUCCUCACGAUGUAGUUGUGUAGUUGUGUAGUUGUGUAGUUGAUGUGAUGACUGGACCGAUGCUGCUGAACAGGAUCUGAAUUCUGUUCUUCAGUCACAGACGAGUGUUGAUCACAUCCUGCAGAGUGACGUUCUCCUUUCAGACUCACACAUGUUGCUGCAGAUCCAGUUUGUGUCUCUGUCUUUAAGAAGUUAAAUCUUCUUCUAGGUCCUCAGAUGAGCUGCAGCCGUGGUCGACCUCUGGGUCAAACCCUCAGGUCCACGUUGCUAAAAGAUCACUUUCAUAUUUUCUAUUAUAUUUCACCAUAUGGGAAACACACAGUCGUGGGUGUAGCAGGUGUGUCAGGGCAACAACAACAUAGAGUCACUUCCUGUAGACGUGUGUCAACGGUAAUAAGACAAAUUCUGUUUGAUGAAAAACAUUGAUGGUAAAAUCUUCAGUGCAGAUGAACCAGGAAGGAUGAACACAAAGUUUUUCUAACUUCACUCUGAACACAAACAAUUAAAGUGGCAGCAGAUUGAAGAAGAGAUGGAGGACGACUCACAAAUGAGGAGGAAGAAUCAACACUAGACAACAUUACAAACACACACGUUCACUAUAUAAUAUAAUAUAAUAUAAGAAGAGAACACAACAUUACAAACACACACGUUCACUUUCUGUGUGUUCACUUUUCUCUUGUGUGCCCUCCCGUUAAUCAGUGUCUAGAAUCCAAAUGCCUCGUUAGUCGCUGCACCGUGGGCGAGCCGCUCCCUCUCCUCCGCCUCCCGACGGACACACAUCAAACAUUGUGUUUGCUCUGUGUCCGUGGCGACACAGAGGUGUGUGUCGAACGCUUUCAUCCAGAGGAAAGUGUGCGAUGUUGUGAGGCUCAAAUUGCGACAGCGUCAUCUCCUCCCACUGGUCAGACACCAGCAGGUCCCUUGGUCCUGAUGUGGUGAUUUACUGGUGUGUGUGAGUUUGUAGUUGACACAAUAACAACAUCUAUGAUGUCUCUCUGUCCGUCUCAGGCAUCAAACCUGUGUCGCCGUACAGCGGGUACAGCGGGCAGCUGCGUAGCUCCGUGUACCAGCCCACUGAGCUGGCUCUCAUGUCCAAAGGGAUAGGAAACCCUCGUCCAAUCCCGUCCCAGGACCUCAUCAUCCCCCGAGCCUCCACC